rnacentral:rRNA from 1 species
AAUUGGAGGGCAAGUCUGGUGCCAGCAGCCGCGGUAAUUCCAGCUCCAAUAGCGUAUAUUAAAGUUGUUGCAGUUAAAAAGCUCGUAGUUGAAUUUCGGGGUUAGUAGGCUGGUCAUGCCACCGGUAUGUACUGGUCUUUCUGAUUCCUCCUUCCUGAUGAACUGUAAUGCCAUUAAUUUGGUGUUGCAGGGAAUCUGGACUGUUACUUUGAAAAAAUUAGAGUGUUUAAAGCAGGCUAACGCUUGAAUACAUUAGCAUGGAAUAAUGAAAUAGGACGUUCGAUCCUAUUUUGUUGGUUUCUAGGAUUGACGUAAUGAUUAAUAGGGAUAGUUGGGGGCAUUAGUAUUCAAUUGUCAGAGGUGAAAUUCUUGGAUUUAUUGAAGACUAACUACUGCGAAAGCAUUUGCCAAGGAUGUUUUCAUUAAUCAAGAACGAAAGUUAGGGGAUCGAAGACGAUCAGAUACCGUCGUAGUCUUAACCAUAAACUAUGCCGACUAGGGAUCGGAUGAUGUUAAUUUUUUAAUGACUCAUUCGGCGCCUUACGGGAAACCAAAGUGU